AAGACUAUACUUUCAGGGAUCAUUUCUAUAGUUGGUUACUAGAGAAGUUUCUCUGAACGUGUAGAGCACCAAAUAGAAAGCUGAAACUGGAUCCUUUC
rfam:Papio anubis anubis neurofibromatosis type 2 region, section 4; and merlin (NF2) gene, exons 2 through 16 and complete cds.